AACUUGACACUUGUGAAUUUUUUUCCUCUGAAAUUUUUCCCGUAAGCACACACGCACACUCACCACCCACUUAGUGAAAUUUUUAGUCAUUCCCUCCAAAGCUCAUCAUCACUUUUCAGAGAAGAUCAAAACCCUUUCAGAGAAUCCUUUCAGAGAAGAAAUUUUUACCCAAACCUCCAAAGCACGAAGAAAACCCUCACCAUCGUAAAGAUCGAAACCCGCUGUCUCACUAUCGUCGCAUCCCAGUCACCACUCACCCCCCAUCACCAGUCACUGCCACACACGACUCACCACUCACCACUCACCACUGACCGUCGCUCCUCUUCGCCUUCCUGCUCUGAUCGUCGCUGUGCCGCCCAUACCAUCUUCGAUCGCCGCACUUCUCGUCGUCCUCUCUGUGCUCGCGGCGUCGAUUAGCUAUUUUUCAUCCAAUCUAUAAACAAAACUCAAUAAAUUAUAGUGUUGGUGUGGUGAGAUCACACACAGAAAUUGGUACUAGCUGCACGAUCACCCAUUUUCAAAGCCCAAAUUUGUGGUCCUGUGAAAGAUCAGAAUACUGAUUGUAUAAACACUGGCUACAACUUUAGCACUAGCAGAGCAGCAUCAUUGUUUUCAGCUGAAAGCAUUCUAUCUCAAGUUUAUUGCAACCUCCGAAAACCUCAGAGGAUUUCUAAGGCUAUAAUAAAUGAGUAUUUAGAGAAGAUUGAUGCCAUUGCAUCCAAACUACUUAACUUUGAGCUGUGUCACCGCCGUCGAAUCUGGUCCAGCCGCCGUCCCCACUCCCACUGCUCCAGCACCGUCGCAGCUUGUCUAUCGUCAGGUUGCUUCGCCUCUAUUCCAUGGCCGUUGCUAUUCCAUUUCUGUCUCCUGUGCCCCAUUGCUCUCUCUCCCUCAUCUCGAUUGACGAAAAGCUUCUUCAAGAAGUGGUUAAUAUGGGAUUUGACAGAAAUUAAUUGGUUGAAUCUUUAUGCAAAAGGAUCCAAAAUGAGGUCUGUGCCCUUCAUUCUCUCCUUUCGUGACUUCUUGAUUGUCUCUUAUUACUAUCUAUAUAUUUCUGGGUACUGUGGCAAACUACUUGUUAUUGGAUAACUGGUUCCAUGUUUCUAGUGGCUAUCUUGGAGCUGAGUUUCAAGAGACUAUGGUUGACUCUUUACCUUAGAUAGUUGACUCUUUUAAGUCUUAAUGGAUCUAAUAAUAUCUCUUCCUCUGCUCAAUAUCUCCCACUUAUUUAUUUAUU